CAGUCGCCGCGGUAAUACGUAGGGGGCGAGCGUUGUCCGAAGUUACUGGGCGUAAAGCGCGCGUAGGCGGCUUCUUAAGUCUGAGGUGAAAGGUUCAACGCUUAACGUGAACAGUGCCUUGGAUACUGGGGAGCUUGAGUAUGGGAGAGGGCAGUGGAAUGGCUGGUGUAGCGGUGAAAUGCGUAGAUAUCAGUCGGAACACCCAUGGCGAAGGCAGCUGCCUGGCCUAAUACUGACGCUGAGGUGCGAAAGCGUGGGGAGCGAACGGGAUUAGAUACCCGCGUAGUCCCUGUCUCUUAUA
rnacentral:rRNA from 1 species